CAAAAAAGGUAAAAAUUCUCAUACCCGCUCAGAAUUUGAUUCUGAGCACCACUUGGCUAUAUCGGAGCAAAAUGAACGGCAGGUGAGCCGAAAACUGCGGGCAAAACCCGCAAUCUCCUCCGAUGAGCCCCUUCAUGUUUUUUGUUUUGUGCAAUUUUUUCACCGUUGUGUUCGCUGUUGUGUUUUCUACAGGUUGACUGAAGAAAAAAUCCAAGUCGCAAAGGUGAGCUGGUAGAGUCGCCGCACUUGGAAAACCCCAUCACUGGUAGGUUCCGUUUUUUAAUUUUUUCGGCCAACC
rnacentral:lncRNA from 1 species